GAUGAACGCUGGCGGCGUGCCUAAUACAUGCAAGUCGAGCGAACGGACGAGAAGCUUGCUUCUCUGAUGUUAGCGGCGGACGGGUGAGUAACACGUGGAUAACCUACCUAUAAGACUGGGAUAACUUCGGGAAACCGGAGCUAAUACCGGAUGAUAUUUUGAACCGCAUGGUUCAAAAGUGAAAGACGGUCUUGCUGUCACUUAUAGAUGGAUCCGCGCUGCAUUAGCUAGUUGGUAAGGUAACGGCUUACCAAGGCAACGAUGCAUAGCCGACCUGAGAGGGUGAUCGGCCACACUGGAACUGAGACACGGUCCAGACUCCUACGGGAGGCAGCAGUAGGGAAUCUUCCGCAAUGGGCGAAAGCCUGACGGAGCAACGCCGAGUGAGUGAUGAAGGUCUGCGGAUCGUAAAACUCUGUUAUUAGGGAAGAACAUAUGUGUAAGUAACUGUGCACAUCUUGACGGUACCUAAUCAGAAAGCCACGGCUAACUACGUG
rnacentral:rRNA from 1 species